UAUCUUGGUAAAAUAUUCAUUUUUAAACUAGCGGGCAGUGAAAUCUUUGCUUUGUGUGCUAAAGUCAACAGUCGCUCGGUUUGAGCUCAAAUAAAUGCGGAGAUGCCUCGGCUCGGAGCAGUUGGCCGCCUCCCUCCGCGCGCUGGACGCUCCGCCGCCAGCCCGCCGCACCGCAGAUUUGCUUAUUCCCAGCAACCAGAGCAGAAAGAUGAGAUGGAGGAAGCUACUGUUUUUCUAAGAGUCCUACGUGUUGGAAAGUACAUGAGCUUCUCCCCAGGCUGAACUUUGACCAUCACAAGAGUGUCCCCAACAGGCCAUACCUUUGCUGUCAGAUUUAAAUUGCUCCUGGAUGCUUUCCUCUGAGUUUUCAAUGAGUAUCAACUGAGGAAAGAGACACAAAAGCAGACUGUUAAUAGAGAGGCGAUGGCCCAAGUCCAGAUGGGUGCUGUGUAUGUACCUGGAGCUCUUAAGAUAAAGGGAAGGGGGCAUGUGGAAAUCGAGACUUGCCGCCUUGGACCAAACUACCAGACCCACAAAGCAUCAGAAUAUGUCAACAAAAGAUGUUAAAAUAUGAAAGUGUUGAUUUGCCCUGCAGUGCAAAUUGAAGUUGUGAUGGUCAGGUUGCCCAAGUAGACAUUUAACCUUCCAUGAAGUCUCUUACCAUGACUAAUAAAGCUUACUGUGAGUAAAUAA